UUUAGGCAGGGUGCGCAUCCUUUCCUGAGUGUUUGGACAACACCAGGGACAUCGUGGAGCCAUAGGAUGAGGGCAUGAACACCGUGUUUGACUACACCUCAUCUUUUUAACAUUCUGACUUUUUCCACUGGCCGCCUGCUUUCCAAACGCUUCCCUCGAGUUACAAAAAACUGAAGACAUUACGUUUUAAGGCAAGAGCUCCUAUUUGACCUCUUCCUGUUUCAUUCCAAUUGGAUUGCUGUGGGUGAAGUCACACCCCAAAGAGCUCAGGAGAGAAUCUGAGCCCAAAACCUGACAAAACGAGGAGGGACAAAGAAGAAAGGGGGAAAAAUAAAGAAAAAGGAGGC